rnacentral:rRNA from 1 species
CCAAGAUUGAAAGCUGGCGCCUUCGGCGUCCGCAUUGUAAUCUCAAGAAGUGUUUUCCGCUUCGGACCAUGCCUAAGUCCCUUGGAAAAGGGCAUCAUAGAGGGUGAUAAUCCCGUACAUGGCAUGGAGCGCCCGAAGCUUUGUGAUACGCUUUCUAAGAGUCGAGUUGUUUGGGAAUGCAGCUCAAAAUGGGUGGUAAAUGCCAUCUAAGGCUAAAUAUUGGGGAGAGACCGAUAGCGAACAAGUACAGUGAUGGAAAGAUGAAAAGCACUUUGGAAAGAGAGUUAAACAGUACGUGAAAUUGUCGAAAGGGAAGCGCUUAAAGUUAGACAUGCCUAUUGGGAUUCAGCCUUGCUUUUGCUUGGUGUAUUUCCCGGUGAGCAGGCCAGCAUCAGUUUCGGCUGUCGGAUAAGGGUUAGAGGAAUGUGGCCCCUCGGGGUGUUAUAGCCUUUAACUGGAUACGGCGGCUGGGACUGAGGAACGCAGCGUGCCUUUAUGGCGGGCCUUCGGGCACCUUCACGCUUAGGAUGCUGGCGUAAUGGCUUUAAGCGACCCGUCU